rnacentral:rRNA from 1 species
UCCUACGGGAGGCAGCAGUGGGGAAUAUUGGACAAUGGGGGCAACCCUGAUCCAGCAAUGCCGCGUGUGUGAAGAAGGCCUUCGGGUUGUAAAGCACUUUCAGUAGGGAAGAAGGGCUCAAGAUUAAUACUCUUGAGAGUUGACGUUACCUACAGAAGAAGCACUGGCUAACUCUGUGCCAGCAGCCGCGGUAAUACAGAGAGUGCGAGCGUUAAUCGGAAUUACUGGGCGUAAAGCGCUCGUAGGUGGGUAUUUAAGUCGGAUGUGAAAGCCCUGGGCUCAACCUAGGAACUGCAUCCGAUACUGGGCACCUAGAGUAUGGUAGAGGGAAGUGGAAUUUCCGGUGUAGCGGUGAAAUGCGUAGAUAUCGGAAAGAACACCAGUGGCGAAGGCGGCUUCCUGGACCAAUACUGACACUGAGGUGCGAAAGCGUGGGGAGCAAACAGGAUUAGAGACCCUGGUAGUCCACGCCGUCAACGAUGAGAACUGGCUGUUGGGGGAGACUUCCUCUUAGUAGCGUAGCUAACGCGUUAAGUUCUCCGC